CCCUUCCGCCGGCGGGGAGCCGGCGGGCAGGAGCCCCGGAGGGGAAAAGGACGGCGACGGCACCGGGGCAGCAAAACGGCACCGCCGCCUCCCCGUCGGGGAAUCGAACCCCGGUCUCCCGCGUGACAGGCGGGGAUACUCACCACUAUACUAACGAGGAGUGAGCUGCGAGCAGUACGUCCCGUCGGCGGCCCGGAGGGCGGGAAAGUGCCUGAGGUACUCUUCAGCUGGCAUCUGGAAUGGUUCUAUUGCUUCAGUACUAUGGAUCCCAGAAUGUUUUGAUCGGCUUCCUGAGGACUGGGGUCUCUUUGACGGACGAAAACCUACGGUCUUGGAGUCCCACAGUGUUAGUGACCUAGUGAUGCUGCUGAGGGGCCUCAAAAGGAAAACACCGCCUAUGGAAUUUGGAGUGGUGUCAGUGGCAAAGGAGGAGAUAACAGAGGAACUCAGCACUCACACUGACAGUUUGUGAAGCAAAGAGCUUGGAAUUUGAUGAUGUCCUCUUCCUUUACAACUUUUUCACAGGCUCAGAGAGGAGGACGUAUGAACACGGUAGCCCCCAAGGGGAAACUUGACUUCGGCGAUCAGAGGGCAGCGAGUGUGAGCGGGCCUGGCGGGGCGCCUCUCCCCGCCCUGCGCGGGCGCCGGGCCAACCGCCACCCGCAGGCCGGAAACCCGCCAAAGGUGACGUCGCACCACGUCCUGGCGGGAAGCCGAUCUGCCACUACACCACUCCUCGUUAGUAUAGUGGAAGGACCCAUUCAUGCUGUGAAGCGAGCUAUUUAUGUUGACAAAAACAAGCAAAACCAGAUCAUCCCAGCAAUGAAAUCAAAAGAUAGGACCAUGCUACACCACCAGGUCAGGGAC